rnacentral:rRNA from 1 species
GACGUAGGGCGCGAGCGUUGUCCGGAUUUAUUGGGCGUAAAGAGCUCGUAGGCGGCUUGUCGCGUCGACUGUGAAAACCCGAGGCUCAACUUCGGGCUUGCAGUCGAUACGGGCAGGCUUGAGUUCGGUAGGGGAGACUGGAAUUCCUGGUGUAGCGGUGAAAUGCGCAGAUAUCAGGAGGAACACCGGUGGCGAAGGCGGUUCUCUGGGCAUUACCUGACGCUGAGGAGCGAAAGUGUGGGGAGCGAACAGG